UUGUUAAGGGUGGGUUCAUAGGACUGUGACUCUGAGAGCUCUGGACCAGAAUACCCUAGCCUUCAACAUGACGAAAGUAACCAAGAAAUCACACAAUACUACACCAGAUGUCGAACCAUCAACUACAAGUGCGAAAUCCAAGAAAACUAAGACUUGCCAUCAAUCCAAAAUCAGAACUAGAAGCAAGAAGAGGCCUCAGCCUGGUUCCAAAUGUACUAGGAAGGUGCAGAAGACAACCAAGAAGGUCAAGAAAACCCUGCCAAGAAUCCCCAAAAAUAAGGCUUUGGAGCAUACCGUACCACCUACAAAAAAGACAAAAAAGGCCAAGGGUUCCAUUUGAACACUGAAGGGUGAAGAAAGUGGAAAGUGAGUGCAGAAGCUAUACUAGAAAAAUGAAAAAGCAUAUUAGAAACAGAACAUGAAGAAAUCAAGUUGAUACUUUCCAGGAAGCUUCAUCGUGACUGCCUAGCUAUCAUAGUGCUGCAAAUGCUGCCCAAGGAGAAAAACAAUCAGUCUUAUACAGCUGCGAACCCUCUUGCAAUCACCUUCUGGUGCUACAAAAGACAGUCCACAAGGAAGAAGCUAUCAGAUCAGACCCAGUUCAAAUCUUCUGAGUCCUAUGUCCAAACUGUGUGGAGUUUUCAGCAAUAGGGACAUACCAUCAACUUUCAGAAGCAUCACUGUCCUCUGAGAGGCUUCAUCCAGCAGAUGCAGAUACCUACAGACAACAGUAGACCGAGGUCAGGGACUGUUAUGAAAGAGUGGGUGAAAGAUUGAGGACCCUGAAGAGGAUAAGAACUGCACAGGAAGACCAAGUGAAUCAAUUAACCUGGACAGCUCUCAGAGACUGAGUUACCAAGCAAAAGGACAAAAAUCAUCAUACAACAACCCAUCUAAUCCGAUCUAUCGUGAAGACAUGCUGCUGCCUCCCUAGUCUAAAAAUGACAUACAACGAUAAGCAGAGUGCUGAGUAAAACUGAGAAGUUUUAUAGAGCUGGGGACUGAACCCAGGGCCUUGUGCUUGCUAGGCAAGCGCUCUACCACUGAGCUAAAUCCCCAAACCCAAUGGACUCACUUUUAACCUUAGUAAAGAUUCCUGCCAGCUACCUGAUUCCGUUCAUCCUGAUGGGUCUCUCAGCCAAG